rnacentral:lncRNA from 1 species
AAUCCAACUAGGAACCAUGAGGUUUCUGGCUUGACCCCUGGCUUUGCUCAGUGGGUUGGGGAUCAAGCAUUGAGGUGAGCUGUGGUGUACAUUGCAGAUGUAGCUCGGAUCCCACAUGGCUGUGGCUGUGGCAUAGGCUGGCGGCCUCAGCUAUGAUUGAACCCCUAGCCUGGGAGCCACCAUAUGACCCUAAAAAAAAAAAAAAAAAAAAAAAAAAGAACAUGAAAAUGGAGCCUAUUCAAGGUUUAUGCCUGCCUUCGAUGGAAGUAUAUAUUUACCCAGAAGUCUGGGCCAUAGGAGGAAAGAUAGGAAGAGCAAAGAAUACUCAACUGGUGGAAAUAAGUCUUAAAGAUCAGAAUUUAUUUCUUUUCCAAAAGCAGUAUCCUCUGAGACCCAAAGCAUGACAGGGACUUAUCCCAAUUAUAGGAAAUAUAAGAGAAUAGAGAUUAUUAACUGAAUAUAAUAGCCCUUGUAACAGUCCUAUAUUGGGACUGCAAAAACUUAAUAGAGAUUGGUGCCUAGUACAAGAUCUUCAUCUAAUAAAUGAGACACUGGUCCCAUUACAUCCAGUAGUGCCCAAGACCUACACUCUUCUUUCACAAAUUUCAGAAACAGCAGCAUGGGUUACUGUAUUAGAUUUAAAAGAUGCCUUUUUUUUCCUGCAUUUCCUUGACUAAGGCUUGCAUAUAUAAAUUCUCAAAAUAUGGAAGGUAACUAACUGGCCAAAAUUAAUUUUAGGUUCAAGUAAACUGGGAAAUAUUCAGUAUUAAAUUAAUACCUUAAAUUAGAAUUGAAGUUCGCUGAUCUAAUUAACACAUAAAUGUCGUUACAGCUGUCAACACUAGGUAUAAUAUCUUAUCAUACCUAGGUUUAACAGAAGUCAAAUGAGACACUGAGACAUCAGUUACUAAACAGAAACUAAAGGCAUUUAGAACAAUAAAUCAAUAUGAUCAGUGCCACACUGAGAUGGUCUCUAUAAGAAAACACAUGUUUUUUAGAUAUUAUAAAGACAGUCUGUGGUUGCUUUAGAAAAGUAGAAUGUGUGUGCUUUUAAUAUAGAAGGAAUGAGGAAUGGAAUUGCAUUUUAUUAAGGCAAAAGAAAGGCAGUCUGUCUUUAGCUGAUUGCUCUGGUUGGAAAAUAAGGGACAGACUUUUAUGGAUACAGAAAGUGAUACAAGGUGUGUGGGAAGUGGACACCGAGAAGAGAAUUUUUGGGCAUGGUGGGGACUGUUUAGAAUAUAUUUGAGUAAGUUAACUUUAAAAGUAAGGUGGUGCCAUAAAUCAUACUCCUCAUGAGGACAUAAGGUAGCUUUCAAUUACAUGCUGACCAAGGAAACGGCAUACAAAUAUUUCAUAACCAGCCAGAGAAAUCAGGAAAAUCAUAUGAGUUACCUGUGCCUAUAAAAUCUAAAUAUUAUAUUCCUGAUUGUUCACAGAAUGUGUCUAAUUCCCUGCUAGAUCUUCAACAGUAGAUUCAUGAGCUGUCCUAUCCAGCUCCAGCUUUUGGAGCUGCCCUGUGGAACCAGAUGACGUCCUCCUCCUGGUGAAAAUAUUUCUUCACCAUAUUCAUUGUGAUCUUGAUCCUUUUAUUCAGACCCUAUAUAAUUAAUUGUAUUUCCUGCUUCAUUACAUCCUGAUUAAAAGCUAUCAAUGUUCAAAUGUAGAUAGAAGGGGUACCCAAAGCAAUGUAUCAAAGCCCACUUGACUGUUUCAUGAGUGGAAACCUAACUGCUUUCCCUAACAACGUCCCUUUUCAGCAGGAAGAAGUCAGAGUGGCCGAUGCCCCUUUUCCCUGCAGUUAGUCUCCAACUCAGGGGGAAUUGAGGCAGAAUAUUAACUCAGGUAGUCAGUGUAGGAACAUGGGCUUCAAUACCUUCUUUGAUGUGGCUACUGAUUAACAUUAGUAAAUGAAGGGUUGCAUAUCAACCUCAACUGCUAUAAAGGUUACAGGUAUUGCCCCAUGGAUCCAUCACACCAGCGUCAAGUCUGCAUCCGCAGCUGACAUGGACACCUGGGAGGCUGUACAGCACCUCAAGAAUCCCCUCAAGAUCAAGUUCCAGAGACUUCCUUUGCCAUCAUCAGAGAGCACUAAGCCCUGCACUGGCCACCCCUGGAAACUAGUCAGUCUACACAUGGUAGAAGCCUGAGUUCCACGUGAGACUUAACUUGAACUUGUGUUCUGGUGGAGGACGUUAGCCAUUGAAAUCACCCUAACCCAUGUACUUGAAGUUGGGAUUGGGAAGAGGGCCCUAGGUUGCUUAUUUGUGUGGCAUAUCUUCUGACUCCUGAUACAUUGGGAGUCUUCCUCAUCACCAGUUAACAAACUUAAUGAGGGGGCUCAUCACCCUAGUAAUAGCCUUUAAGACCAACAAAUGGAUACAGGUUUCUCCACCCAUGGAGUUUAAUAGUGUCUCAAAUGCCAAAUUGGUAUACAAGACUGAUUGUUGGGCAUGAUUGCAUGGGAACAACCCUACAGGGGUACAAAACGUUGUGGUCAAGGCUCACCCUACAGCCAUAGAGGACCUCAUCAAGCUGGAGGGAACACUAGGUGGGUUCACCUACACAUUACACACAGAGGUAAAUAGCACUGCCAUCAUCCACACCCUGCUCUCCAGCACCAGCACUACCAUCAAUCCAGUAGUCUGCUGAAAGACCUAAAACUGGAGCAUGCAGAGCCAUGGGGAUACCUGGGAUGAGGCUGGACCAUGGGGAUAAUUAGCAUGUUAGUGGGAAAACAGCCUCUCUUUUCAAAGAGGGCAGGACAUUCUAUACUAAGAGGAUUAUUUUGGUUUGCUGGAAUACCUGUUAGAUCAGUACUUAACCUGACUAUAAUGGUUCAAGAGUCUUGGAAGGCCACCGUAGUGGCCAUAAAAUCCCAAGGACAACUGGACUCCUGGUGGAGGUGGUAUUACAAUACAGGAGGGAGCUAGAAUUACUGAUAGCAGAAUAGGGGAAAUCUAUUUAUUCCUUAAGGAAGAAUGCUGUUUUUAUGCCAACAAGUCAGGAGUAAUCAGUAGCAUGGCACAACAAUUAAAAGAGCGAAUAACUAAGAGGAGGCAAGAAUUGGCAGAGUCUUCAAACUACUGGAGUAAGAUCUGGAACUGAGCUUCAUGGCUCCUACACUUAACUGGGACUUUGACUAUACUCAUCAUUGCCCUCUUGUUUGGACCCUGAAUUCUUAAUGCAAUUACUCAUUUUGUAACCACACGAAUAGUCUAUAAGGCUGCAAAUGUUAGUCAGGACACAGUAUGCCCCCCUGGACACAUCAGACCCAGAUAACUUGACCUCUAAAAAUUGAUGCUUGCUCCAAGAAAGUGGAAAAGCAUCAAGAGGGGGGAAUGUAGGAGAAAAUGUCCCAAUAAAAAGGUAGAAAGGAGAGACCCUGGCCACGAUGACUAAGCAAAGUACAGCCGAGUGCUCCUAGCCACCCCUCCCCCACACAUCUGCUUCUGUAAACUUGUUUCUGCAUCCACUACCUUGCAUGACCUCACUCCAGUCCCACCAGCCAAGCAUGGACCUGGAAGAGGUAGCCCAUAAAAGCCUUGUGAAACCCUUCUUCAGGGCUCAGACUCUGGAGAGCAAUCACCCUGAGCCUGCCGGUGUAAUAAACCUGAGUUCUCCAAGCCGGGUAAAAGAGCUGAUUUACUGCAGCCACAGAGCUGCUGGAGCUGGUAUAUCACAGCCACAGGGCUGUCACUAGAGCUGAUGCGCUGCAGCACAGGGCUGCUGGGCAGCUGCUGUAACACCUUCUUCCAUGGAAAAGAAGUCAACAAAUUAACUUUUCAGAGAAGGAGUAAUUUCUGACAUUUUUCUAACAUAGGAGCUCCAAGGCAGGGGUAAAAAGGUGACUAACAAUAGUAAUAGAGCUUUAAUCAUGAACAUCUAAGUAGUUACUUAUCCCCCCUUUUCCCCUUGGAGAGAUCUUCAUGCACCUAGCAAUCUCAUUUGGACCAAAUUGCAGAUGAUGUGUGGCUACAACCUCAUCAUUUGACCCAUAUUCACAUUUAGAGUGCUUGGGAAACAAAAGAUCUCUAGGGCUAAUUAGAGCAGAAAAGAUUGGACACCACCAGGGAGUUCAUGAGAUAGGGAAUGGAGUGGAGACACAGGAUAGGCAAAGCAGGCAGAAGCAAAUGGAAGAGUAGCGCUGGUAGUGUAUCAAUUUGUACCUUGUGAAUAGCUGUAGGAUAAGAAUUUUUUUUUUUUUUUUUCAUUUUUGGACACCGCCUGGCAUAUAGAGUUCCCAGGCCAGGGAUCAAAUCCAACCUAAGCCACAGCUGCAGCAACAGCAGAUCCUUAACCCACUGUGCCAGGCUGGGGAUCAAACCUGCAUCAGUGCUCUCAAGAUUCCACUGAUUCCAUUGCACAACAGUGUGAACUCCAGAAAAGAAAUCUUUGUAGCUGCUUCUGUUCCUGCACACUCUGCCCCUUACCCUCCCCUCCUUUCAACACAGUUCUUUUUCCUUGAAUUCCACAUAUUGUUAUAAAAUAUCUCUUAAAUUCCUCCUUAUGACUAUAUAACAUGCUUGAAAUUUUCCUAUGGAAUAUUGUAUUUUCCCCCUUUAAAAAAGUUCAACAUAUAUAACAACUUAUCCCCAAAUUUGUCAGUUUAAAGUAGCACACAUAAUUUUCUUAUUUUUUUUGGGGGGGGGUCAAGAAUCUUAGCACAGUUUGCACAGGACCUGAACAAGAUUUUGUGAUUUAGGGACCCACAGGUUGCAAUAAAGAUGUUGGCUGGAGAUAUGGUCUCAUUUGAAGGCUCAAUGGAUAAAGAUCUGCUUCCAAAUUCACUCAUUUAGUUCCUUAAGAGCUGGUGGACUGAGGAUCUCCAUUCUCCACUAGUUAUUGCUACCAUAAAUUCUUUGCCAAAUUCUGAGCCUCCCCAAUCUUGCUUUAUUAAAUUAAGCAUGUGAGAAGAACCAGAGAGAGAGAAAAAACAAGACAAGAUUCACCAUCUUUUGUUUCUGAUCACGAAAGUGACAUCCCAUCCUCUUUCAGUACUCUAUUC